UUGGCUUCGGGGGAGGCGAAGAUGGCAACGAAGGAGAGAGCCGCCGGUGUCGGAGAGAGAAGGACUGAGGAGGGCCUGGGAUGAGGUUUGGCAGUGGGUUUUGACGGCGGAGGUCUGGUCACCGCAGCUGCCGCUGCUCUCAGGGCCAUCGCCAUCGCUUCCACUGCUCCCCUCCCUCCCAAAGCUCUGGUUCUAUCUACUUGA
rnacentral:misc_RNA from 1 species